rnacentral:lncRNA from 1 species
ACCUCCUGGGAGCUGGUGGCAGAGCUGGGCCAGACAUCCAGGUCCCCCGUUCGCAGUGACUACAGCUGUGGUCUGGUUGUGGGAGACGGCGCUCCCUGGGGACCCGGCAGGCCUUGCUGCUCUGGCUUGAGUCUCCAGAGCAGCCGCAGGACGGAGAUCUCCCAGCCGCGCAGGCCCAUUGCCCAAGACGGAUGAGCUGCUCCCACGCCCUGAGAAGAGCGAGAGCGUGAAAUGGGCGCCGCUCCCGCCCUCUGGCUAAUGGCCCAUCCUCUCCGGCCAUUGCCUCCAAGAGCCCAUUGAGCGCCGCAGGGGGAG